UACGGAGGGGGCAAGCGUUGUUCGGAAUUACUGGGCGUAAAGGGCGCGUAGGCGGCCUACUAAGUCAGACGUGAAAUCCCCCGGCUUAACCUGGGAACUGCGUCUGAUACUGGAAGGCUUGAGGAUGGGAGAGGGAUGUAGAAUUCCAGGUGUAGCGGUGAAAUGCGUAGAUAUCUGGAGGAAUACCGGUGGCGAAGGCGGCAUCCUGGACCAUUACUGACGCUGAGGCGCGAAAGCUAGGGGAGCAAACGGGG
rnacentral:rRNA from 1 species